rnacentral:rRNA from 1 species
UGAGUAACACGUGAGUAACCUGCCCUUAACUCUGGGAUAAGCCUGGGAAACUGGGUCUAAUACCGGAUAUGACUCCUCAUCGCAUGGUGGGGGGUGGAAAGCUUUUUUGUGGUUUUGGAUGGACUCGCGGCCUAUCAGCUUGUUGGUGAGGUAAUGGCUCACCAAGGCGACGACGGGUAGCCGGCCUGAGAGGGUGACCGGCCACACUGGGACUGAGACACGGCCCAGACUCCUACGGGAGGCAGCAGUGGGGAAUAUUGCACAAUGGGCGAAAGCCUGAUGCAGCGACGCCGCGUGAGGGAUGACGGCCUUCGGGUUGUAAACCUCUUUCAGUAGGGAAGAAGCGAAAGUGACGGUACCUGCAGAAGAAGCGCCGGCUAACUACGUGCCAGCAGCCGCGGUAAUACGUAGGGCGCAAGCGUUAUCCGGAAUUAUUGGGCGUAAAGAGCUCGUAGGCGGUUUGUCGCGUCUGCCGUGAAAGUCCGGGGCUCAACUCCGGAUCUGCGGUGGGUACGGGCAGACUAGAGUGAUGUAGGGGAGACUGGAAUUCCUGGUGUAGCGGUGAAAUGCGCAGAUAUCAGGAGGAACACCGAUGGCGAAGGCAGGUCUCUGGGCAUUAACUGACGCUGAGGAGCGAAAGCAUGGGGAGCGAACAGGAUUAGAUACCCUGGUAGUCCAUGCCGUAAACGUUGGGCACUAG